GAAGCGAACGCGGUGAACUGAAACAUCUAAGUAACCGCAGGAAAAGAAAUCAACCGAGAUUCCCAAAGUAGUGGCGAGCGAAAUGGGAUGAGCCUUGUACUCUUUAUUCGUAUUGUUAGCCGAACGCUCUGGAAAGUGCGGCCAUAGCAGGUGAUAGCCCUGUAGGCGAAAACAGUAUGAAAGAACUAGGUGUACGACAAGUAGGGCGGGACACGUGAAAUCCUGUCUGAAGAUGGGGGGACCAUCCUCCAAGGCUAAAUACUCGUGAUCGACCGAUAGUGAACCAGUACCGUGAGGGAAAGGCGAAAAGAACCCCGGGAGGGGAGUGAAAUAGAUCCUGAAACCGCAUGCAUACAAACAGUCGGAGCCUCGUAAGGGGUGACGGCGUACCUUUUGUAUAAUGGGUCAGCGACUUACGUUCAGUAGCAAGCUUAACCGUAUAGGGCAGGCGUAGCGAAAGCGAGUCCGAAUAGGGCGUUCAGUUGCUGGGCGUAGACCCGAAACCAGGUGAUCUAUCCAUGGCCAGGAUGAAGGUGCGGUAACACGUACUGGAGGUCCGAACCCACUAACGUUGAAAAGUUAGGGGAUGAGCUGUGGAUAGGGGUGAAAGGCUAAACAAACCUGGAAAUAGCUGGUUCUCUCCGAAAACUAUUUAGGUAGUGCCUCGUGUCUCACCUUCGGGGGUAGAGCACUGUCAUGGUUGGGGGGUCUAUUGCAGAUUACCCCGCCAUAGCAAACUCCGAAUACCGAAGAGUGCAAUCACGGGAGACAGACAUCGGGUGCUAACGUCCGGUGUCAAGAGGGAAACAACCCAGACCGCCAGCUAAGGUCCCCAAAUAUGGCUAAGUGGGAAACGAAGUGGGAAGGCUAAAACAGUCAGGAGGUUGGCUUAGAAGCAGCCACCCUUUAAAGAAAGCGUAAUAGCUCACUGAUCGAGUCGUCCUGCGCGGAAGAUGUAACGGGGCUAAGCCAUAUACCGAAGCUGCGGAUGCGUGCUUGCACGCAUGGUAGGAGAGCGUUCCGUAAGCCUGCGAAGGUGCCUUGUAAAGGGUGCUGGAGGUAUCGGAAGUGCGAAUGCUGACAUGAGUAGCGAUAAAGGGGGUGAAAGGCCCCCUCGCCGUAAGCCCAAGGUUUCCUACGCAACGUUCAUCGGCGUAGGGUGAGUCGGCCCCUAAGGCGAGGCAGAAAUGCGUAGCUGAUGGGAAGCAGGUCAAUAUUCCUGCACCGUCGUUAGAUGCGAUGGGGGGACGGAUCGCGGAAGGUUGUCCGGGUGUUGGACGUCCCGGUCGCUGCAUUGGAGAAGGCGCUUAGGCAAAUCCGGGCGC
rnacentral:rRNA from 1 species